GAGGUCCAGCUCGUGGUGCAGCCGCAGGCUCUGGACCCUGGGAAGGACGGCGGGACGCUGAGCACCGCAGGCUGGGACCGCGCUCACGGGUGGGGAGAACGUGCUCCCGGGAGCACCGACACUCCAGGUGCUGGGAAGGCGCGUCGGGAACUUCCGUGCCGGGACGGCAAACACCCGCCCCGGAGCGUCCGGUCCCUGCUCCACACGAACAGUUCACCCGUGCCGAGGCCACGGGGGCCUCCGCCGUGGCCGCUCCGGUUUCCACCUGAGCCAGAUUCGUCCCUGCCCGGCUCUGCCCCACGACAGCGCACACCCCGCACCCCAGGAAGGACAAAGGGCUUCCAGCGCAGGCUGCCUCCUGGCCGGGGCUGCCCACCACCGUGCCCCGUCUGGGAGGACCAGAUGGACCCAAGGGCCUGUGUGUCGCCGCUCGCAGCCACCUGCUCUCCAGAUACCCGGCGCCGGCAUCCGGCCACCCCGGGGUCCCCCACCUCCCCAGCACGAUCAAGGCCACAGCUCUAGAGACCAUCCGGCAAGCGUGCGGGUUACUGCAGAAGACACACGCCCAAUGCACUUGCGUCUGCCCCGUGUUUCCUGAGUGCCCCCAAACGCCAGGUGCCAUCUGGGCGUGGGCUGCGUGGGGACCACAGGCCAAGCAGCAGGGUGGGGCUUACAUUCAAGGGGGAAGAAAAAGAAAAACAGAGGAGCACACCCCAAAUAGGAGGUCAUGGGGUGGGGGGAGGAUCCGAGGCCAGGACAGCCGGAAAAAAGCCCGCUGGUGGCUGGAGGGGGCCUCUCGAGGACCCUAGUCCUGCAAGGUGAGAUGCCAGACAGACGGGAACGCCCCGAGCAGGGAGGGAGCGGCCAGCCGCCAGCUGGAGGCCCCGCAGGAGCAGGAGUUGUGGGAGGGGUGGGUGGGGAGGCAGGCUGAGACCAGGUCCAAGUAGCCAGCAGGGCUAGGGCGGGCUGGGGAGCGCUCUAGGUUCACCCCUGCGUGUGACAAGAAGCUGUUCCUGGGGACGGUGUCCCAGCCCCACUGACCCCAGCUGACCCGUUCAGGUACCCCCCACUCAGAAGGAACACGAGCCGGCAGUGCACCCGGCAGCACAGGGGCGCGGCGGGGAGGGAAUCGAUACAGAAUCGUGGUGCUGCCGGUGGCCGUGGCCUCCCCCUGCGUGCUGUGUGCAGGGACAACCCCUCCGCCGGAGGAGAAGGCUGGCCCUCCUACCUGGGCACUCUGCAACACUCCGCCCGGGAGAGCUGGGGCCCCUUUCCUGCACCGGGGAGGUCGGGGAGCAGGAAGGACACCGUGAACACAGAUGCAGGUGAGGAAGAGGAAGACGGGGUCAGAGAGGGUGAGGAGGAGCAGGGCUCUCGGGGAAGGGCGCCGCUUCCUGUCCCGCUCCACCAAAGGCCCUGUGCGGACACCCCAGCACCCCAGGACCUCAGGGACAGUGACCACUAUCGCCUGGAAUGGCCUCGGAGCCUUCACGAGGCGCCACGACCGCACCCGGGGUAGCUCACGUGGCUGAGGCUGUAGGAGGCACGUCCCACCAGGUGGGGGCCCAGCCAACCACAGACACAAGCCACCGGGUCUGUCCUCGAAUCGGACACCACCACACGGACGAGCAGAGGGCCCCCAUCCCACGGGGGACGUGCCACCGAAGUGCACGCUUGGGAACCACCGGACACCAGGCCCGGCAGCGCCAAAUCAUCAGACUCCCAGAGCUGGGGGAGGCGGCUUCUGCUCACCAAAACGUGAACAGUGGCGAAUGCCGGCUUCCCCGAGCUCACGCCGGAGACACUCCGCCCGACACCCUACUCGGCUGCCCUGCACACACCCAGGGGCAGCCGCACGCCCCACCCCCACCCGGGGACCGUCCCUGCAGACAGGAACGUCAGCUCCUUCCCCGCCCCAGAAGCAGCUCCAGCAAGAAAGUCCUGGAGCCCCACACGACACAGGCCAGAGCCUACCCUGGCCCUUCCAGGAAGCUGUGGCUGCCCGAUGUGGGCCAAGGCGUUCCCGUCCCGUAGCAACGACCACGGACAGAGAAAACUCGAGAAGCAGGGAAACCGAACACGUUUUUCAAGUUAAACACUCAUGUGCCUCAACGUCCAGCAGGACGGCAUCUGCUGCCAGCGGUAUGGGAACGACCCCGAGGAGGAACAGGUGCUGUCGUCCUCAGAGGCGGGCGCUGUGCGGCCCGAACCUGUUCCGUUCGAGGAAGGUGGGAUCACCCGCCAGCCUCCCAGAAGGGGAAACUGCAGAUGGGCAGACGUGCGCUCUACCCUCCGGUGCUGAAGAUGAAGGGUUAACUAAAGAAACGGGGACCCUGCCCUACCUUCUCAUCCCAUCACUGCCCACGCCAUGCCCACGCGCACGCGCUCCACUCAGGCCGCCCCGGCGGGAGACCGAGCGCGCGCUCUGUUCUACGAGGCGUUUCGUGUCGGGCAGUAAGACGUAGGCUGGACCCACGCCCUGCGCAGAGACAAGCCGCGCUUCGAAAGCUGAACCGUGAAGGCACUGGCCCUUGAGUUGCGAGGAUCCUGAGCUCGGCCGGGAAGGAUUCCUGCUCGUCCCUCUGACCGCAGGCCGAGAACCAAAAUGACUCUUUUUCUGGAAGUCUGUGACUUGCCAGGGGUGACGGUGGGUAUUAUGACAUGGAGGCGAGCCUCCGCGGACCACCCCAGUCUUUCACGAAACCAUUGCGAUUUCCAAGACUAGAACUUGGAGAGAAUGAAAACCAGGCGGCCAGGGCGCGUGUGGCCAGGGGCUGGACCGUGUCUGCACGCCACCGUCGUCCCCCGACCACAGGCAGCGAGCACGAUGCUCUCUGGAGUCGUCACAAGUUCUCUAGGUCCUCAGGCCUCCUACUGGGUGUCGGCAUGAAUGUAAAGAUGUCACCAAGGGAGGUGAUUCGUCAGCUGCCCGCGAACUGCCAGGCCUGACGGGGGCAGCCUCCUGACUGUCUCAGCCAGAAGAGCCAUUUCUCAUGCACGUCUUUUUGAAAAACCAAACAUCAAAUCGUCUGCACUAAUUUUACUCCCCCCAGCUUGGCUUCGCCCUCCCUUGUCUGGCCGAGCGCCCACAUGCUACCACCUCCGGAAGCCUCUGGGCCUUCCCGGGAGCUCCCGGAGCCAGACCAGAGCCCGCCCGCCACCCGCCAGCACCGGGGCGGCCUCGCGGACACACGGGCCACGCAGCUCACCAGGACAGGCAGUCCUUGAGGGCAUUGUAAUAGGGCAGCUUGGAGACCACGCACACGGCGAAGGGGACAAAGCAGCCAGCCACGCCCGCCGUCGGCCAGGACGGCUCCCAGUGCGCCUUGCCAUUGUAGAAACACGAUGCGUCCUGCAGAGAAAGCCACAGGCCCGUGUCACCUCCUGGCCCAGCCGCUCCCGGCUUCUACCAUCAGCAGCGUGGGCCCCUGCAGACUGGGGCGAGAGGGCAAGGGCCUGGACAGCACGAGCUCCCCCACCGCCCGGCCCGCACUCCCUCUGGAGUCCCAGUCCGUGUGGAUGGUGCCCUCGUCAUGCCACUGGGGGCCCCAGUCACAGCAGACGGGCCCCGGUGUCUCUGGGAGCCCCAGUCCACACAGGACACCCCCCUCCCCGCUCCCGGUGCCUGCUGUCCGCGGUUCAUGACGUGCUGAGGUGGCAGAGGUGGUGAGACCCGCCCCGCCCGGGGGGAAGGGACCCACAGCGAGAACAGAACCGGCUGCGGGCUCUGCUCACGAAGGAAAAAAGCUGCAGCGCCGAGCGUUUGUGUGUGUGCUGGGGCGGGGGAGGGUCUCAGCUGGAGAACGCACCCGGCGCCGGGAUUCCAGAGGCACAGACCACCACGGAGCUUACGAGUGGCAUGUCACGGGGGGGCCACAAUCCGGCCCCCACGGUGGGUGGUUUGGGGUGUCGGGAGGGAUGGCGGUGGCACCACAGCUUCACCUGUGGCUGGUGCCAACGCAAGGGUCUUGCGAGACAGGUGCCGGCAGACCCGGCAGCAGCGGGCGCGUUGUUCGUCUGCCCACCGACAUCGAACCGACGCCCACUGCCCACAGGUCAGUGUGCUGGGGGCCCCAGGCAAGUCACCCCCCUCCCCGUGCGACUGCUCGCGUCCUCAUCUGGAGAGCGGGCUCGGUGCACUGUGCUGCGGAUUAAAUGAGAGCAGGAGGGUCGUGCCUGGAGCGGGCGGCCGGCACAGGAGGACCACAGCACCGUCUGCACUCCGGGAGGGGCCGUGCGCGCAAGGCGGGACGUGGGUGGUCCCUGGACACACGGGGAGGGAGGGGAGGCUGGCACGUAGGGCCCGGGGAACACCCCGAAACCAUGCAGGCUCUGAGAGGACAGGCGAGCGGCCGUGCACACCCCAAAAGCCAGGUGUAGGGGGAGUCACAGGCAAAGCUGAGGGCUGUGACCUUUUUUAAAUUCAUGUAAUGAUAAUAAAAAUAACAUGUACUUCUCAUA